UUAUUCCACGCCUUACAAUUUACUGUUUAGUCCACAAGAUGUAGCUGUUCAUCUAAGAAUUGGUGUUGACUGUAGUUCAUUAAAUAUUUUCUUUCUACAUACUAAAUACUUCAAAAGAAAGUUAAGAGAUGAUUAUUAUAUUAUCAUUGGUGGUUAAUCUGCCAACAUGUCUCCAUAUUUCAAUCUUCACAUCUCAUUUAACAGCUGAAUGGCAAUGUACAGCCAAGCAGGGGCGUGUUCUCAUCCAUUUACAGGAAAUGCUCUGAAUGAUAUUCAGACACAGAAGUUCAGUCUUCUCAUUGUGCCAAUAUGUCUGGUAGAGGUAGACCACGCAAGGCUCAGAGCCCUGAGACCAAGAGUGCCGGCAGCAAAACUACAGCCAAGGAAUUUAAACAUGUCUCUCUACCAGAAAGUCCACAGAAAGAAGAGAAACUCUCUGACACCACAGAGGAACGAAAACCAAAGAAAAGGGAGCCAAAAGAGGUAAACCACACUGAGAAGAAAACGUUUGCUCAGACAGCCCAACGUGGAAAGACCACACACUAUCUAACAGAGACACCAAGUGCAAAAUUAUGCGCCGGAAGAGCCAAAUCACCAGAAGAAACCAGAGAGGAAAUGAGGCGGCAAAAGAUACCAAAGGAAACCACAAAAACAUCAAUGAAAGUCAAAGCCUGUACAGAGAGAGAGAUUUCACCGCAACAAUCCUCAGAUGUAGGGCUAGAAACAGCAAUGGACAAAAAAACCAAGUCUAUAAAGGCAGCAAAAGUAAAAGCAUGUGGUGUCAGAGCCGAGUCACCAGAGCUAUUGGCAACGGAGGAAACAAAAAAACUGCUAAAGACACCUGAGGACACAAUAAAGGCUAAGGUACAGGGAAGAAAAGCAAAACUGGUGGAUGGUAAGAUGCAGCAAAAGAUACCAGAGGACCAUCCAGAAGCUGACACUACAGAUAAAGCAGAUAUGAACACUAUCCUUCUCACAACUCUAGAAAAACUGAAGAUUAAGAUGAAUGACAAAUCAGAGGCAUCACAAGUCAUCAACAGGAUAAUAAAACAGAUAGUGGAACAUUUAAAAAACAACACUUGCUGCUUUACAGAAGUUCAGGAACCACUACGUACUGGAAGUUACUAUGAAAACCUGAAGAUUUCCAACCCCGAUGAAUUUGAUGUCAUGCUGCCUUUUCCUGUUGAGCGUGUGGACAUUAAACCAUUUGGAGAUGAUGGAGCUUUUUAUAGUGUGACGUUGCCGCGAGGAAAAAAUCCUUUGAAAAAAUUUCAACCAGAGUCAAACCCUUUGAGUGCAAAUGAAAUGCUGAAGGAGUUUAGGGAAGAAGUGAAAAAAAGCAUCAAGAACUUUCCAGGCGUGGAGGUGUCAAAGAAGAAAAAGGGCUGUCCUGCAGUGACUCUGAACGUAACGGUAGAGUCAGCCAUCAUCUCUCUGGAUGUCGUUCUGUCCCUUAUGGUUAAAUCCAGCUGGCCAUCUUUCACUAAAGAUGGCCUUCCGAUAGAGAGCUGGUUGGGAAGGAAAGUGAAGCAGACCUUCAAAUUCAUGCCAUACUACCUUGUCCCCAAGUAUGAAGGCAAAGGAACCACGGAAUGUGAUGGAGUGCUGGCAAAAGACAUUUGGCGGGUGUCAUUCUCUCAUGUUGAGAAGGCGAUACUGAAGAAUCAUGGAUCAGAGAAGACAUGCUGUGAAAAAGAUGGAGAUCGCUGCUGCAGGAAGGACUGUUUGAAGCUUCUGAAGCACCUUCUCAGUCUGCUGAAGAGCGAGAACUCCUCCUAUGACAAAUUUUGCUCCUACCAUGCAAAGACUACCUUUCUACAUGCCUGCUGUUCCAGAACUAAAGACAGUGAAUGGGCCUUCACAAAUCUUAGCCAGUGCUUUCAGCUGCUUCUUAAGGAUUUUGAAAGCCAUCUGGAACGUGGUCAACUCAACAACUUCUUCAUCCCAACUCAGAACCUGCUGUCUGGUCCUGGUCAGAGGAGCUGCAAAAGUUUGGCCCUUCGUAUCAGAGAAGAGCGUGAAAAGGGGUUUCCUAUAUUUACAAAAAUACACUAAAAUGAAAUCAACUAAAAAUGCUAAAAUUGCUUUCCGAGCUUUAAAGUGUUUUAUAUCUCAACUCUGUCGAAACACAUGAAUGCUGUUUUGUUUACCUUUAUUAGAUAGUAUCUCAGUUUGGAUUUGAACUAAUGUGUUAAAACACAAAGGUUAUACAGUAAUACAGUGGGUUGGCAGAUUGUGAUGGCCACAGAAUCACUGAUAUUAUCAGCCAAUUGAAGGUGUUACAGAACACUUCAAGGCCUCAGUUCCUGAUGGGCAUGGACUAUGACCAAAAAUAUUCUAAAUAUGGUACACAUAAAGUGACAUUGUUUUUCUGAGGCAGGGCUUUUUUUUGGUGGUAAACUUGUACAAAAACCCAAACAUUUUGUCAUUCUGUCCCCCCUCACCCCCUGAGCCUCUUUUUCAAUUUACUCAUUUCUAAAUCACGCUGGUGGAGUUGGAUUCAGAAUUUGGACAUUGUUACGCUUAAAAGUCACUUGCUUUGAAUAAACGUAUAGUUUUGACAUUAUGUACUGUGUGUUAUUAUCUGACAGCCAAACCAGGGCUUAAUUUUCAAAGUUAGAAUGAGUA